rnacentral:misc_RNA from 1 species
CCUGUUCGAGCGUCAUUAUAACCACUCAAGCCUCGGCUUGGUCUUGGGGUUCGCGGUCUCGCGGCUCUUAAAAUCAGUGGCGGUGCCGUUUGGCUCUAAGCGUAGUAAUUCUCUCGCUACAGGGUCCUGGCGGUUACUAGCCAAAACCCCCAAUUUUUACGGUUGACCUCGGAUCAGGUAGGGAUACCCGCUGAACUUAA